rnacentral:rRNA from 1 species
AUUGAACGCUGGCGGCAGGCCUAACACAUGCAAGUCGAGCGGAUGAAGGGAGCUUGCUCCUGGAUUCAGCGGCGGACGGGUGAGUAAUGCCUAGGAAUCUGCCUGGUAGUGGGGGAUAACGUCCGGAAACGGGCGCUAAUACCGCAUACGUCCUGAGGGAGAAAGUGGGGGAUCUUCGGACCUCACGCUAUCAGAUGAGCCUAGGUCGGAUUAGCUAGUUGGUGGGGUAAAGGCCUACCAAGGCGACGAUCCGUAACUGGCCUGAGAGGAUGAUCAGUCACCCUGGAACUGGAGCCCGGUCCCGCCCCCUACGGGAGGCACCAUGGGGGAAUUUUGGACAAUGGGCGAAAGCCUGAUCCCGCCAUUCCGCGGGUGUGAAGAAGGUUUUCGGAUUGUAAAGCACUUUAAGGUGGGAGGAAGGGCAGUAAGUUAAUACCUUGCUGUUUUGACGUUACCAACAGAAUAAGCACCGGCUAACUUCGU